rnacentral:rRNA from 1 species
CCAGCAGCUGCGGUAAUUCCAGCUCCAAUAGCGUAUAUUAAAGUUGUUGCAGUUAAAAAGCUCGUAGUUGGACCUUAGGCAAGGCGGCCUGGUCACCCUCUGGGUGUACUGGGAUCGCUGCGCCUCACCUUCGGGGAGCUAGUCGUGCUUCGGUGCGCUAGGGAACCGAGCCUUACCUUGAGGAAAUUAGAGUGUUCAAAGCAGGCAGAUCCAAUUUUCUGCCACCGAAUACAUUAGCAUGGGAUAAUGGAAUAGGACCCUGUCCUCCUAUUUUCAGUUGGUUUUGGCAGCGCGAGGACUAGGGUAAUGAUUAAUAGGGAUAGUUGGGGGCAUUAAUAUUUAAUUGUCAG